rnacentral:rRNA from 1 species
UACAGAGGGUGCGAACGUUGCUCGGAAUUACUGGGCGUAAAGAGCUCGUAGGUGGUUUGUCGCGUUGUUCGUGAAAACUCACAGCUCAACUGUGGGCGUGCGGGCGAUACGGGCAGACUGGAGUACUGCAGGGGAGACUGGAAUUCCUGGUGUAGCGGUGGAAUGCGCAGAUAUCAGGAGGAACACCGGUGGCGAAGGCGGGUCUCUGGGCAGUAACUGACGCUGAGGAGCGAAAGCGUGGGGAGCGAACAGG